GUCUCGGUAGUGUAGUAGAUAAGAGCAAGGUCCCCGGAAAGGACAAGUACGGGUUCGAGUCCCGUCCGAGACU
rnacentral:tRNA from 1 species